CUUACGGAAAGGGUAGGACCCUAUAAGCAGAGGACGGACCCUUCUGAUUGGACAGGCGGACUGUCUGUCAACAGGAAAUGAGGACUCGCUCGCUUGCUAGACCUUCAUUCCGCGCGAAAAUACGGCGAAAAAAAGAAUGUUUGUCGUCAAAAGUUGUUGGCGAACCAACCGAUUUUUUGCAGUGGUUGUGGACAGAUACUUGGAAAAAGUCUGGAGUCUUUGGCUCAACCCACCGAUGGACCAACUUCAAUUAAUCUUGGCUUGAUGACUGCUCAGAAGGGUGUUUUAAAGCCCUCACGUGGGAAAACCAUUCCCUUAUCAACCGUCUCUGACAUCACCGCUCAAAGUCUUCUUCAUCACAGUGUGAAGAAAAUGAGGGACUUUAACCAAGACCUGGGUGAAGGAGCCUUCAUCCUUCUGUAUCCAGAUGCAUCUGAAGUCAUCAAUACCCCUGGGACACAAAGACCUUUUAUUCUAGAAAAAUAUAAAGCAGAAUUAGGCAAACCAUAUUCAAGGAUCACAAUUUUUAUCUGCCCAAAGACGGUCUUUGAAGAAGUUGGAAAAGUGUCUGACAUUUCUGACUCUGACACAGAGAUUGUGAUAAAAAGAGCCCUCACAACAUUUGAGCUAGCUGACACGUUGCCAUGUGAACCUGUGCAUGAAAGCAGUGCAAUACAGACGAAUACAGAGGAUAUCCGUCCAAGUACCUCCGGAUGUCCUCGAAUGGCGAGAACAUAUUACAGCAACUACACAGACCUGUAUGCGCCUAUCGUCAGUGAUGACGACGACGAUGAAGAUGAAGUUCUAACUGUCAAAGAAAAUAAUGAGGCAUCUCCUAGAACCAAUGUGAGUCAUGAGUGCUAUAUUAUUAUAGUAUUAUCCAUCCAUUGUACGAGUAGUCAUUGGCGCUUUCCAUUGACCACAGCAAAGUCAACAGAUUCCACGUGUCCAGAUCUAAUGUAUGGGAUGGUGCUGUCAGAGGUUUUCAGCGUUGCACGUACUCCGAGGAGAAUGACAUGUUUGUGAAGUUUACCGAUGAAGAAGGCCUAGAUACCGGCGGGCCGAGGCGGGAAUUCCUCACGCUUCUGAUGAAUGAUCUGAUCUUUAACGGACCUCCAGCAAGCCGUUACCUGGUGUACAACUCUACAGGUGUCUGUUUUUCAUGGAAUUUCUUUUUUUUUGUCCAAAUAUUUUGAUGAAAGUAUUAUUUUUGUUGUACAUUAAGUCACACUUUCUGCCAAAUUUAAGCACUUUAAAAUAAGGGUUAAGGCUGGACACGACCCCUUUAGUCUUGUUAAACUUUCUGGCCAUAGUCCCAUGAUUUACCACUUGAAUGCUUUAAAAGUGACUGCAGAUUAGAUUGUGUGACAUUCACAAAUGGUAAAGCAUGUUCAGUGAAAAGCUUGUUUGUGGGUUGAGUGUUUUGACAGUGAAGUAGCUCUUACUGAUAGUCAGAGAUUUAAGGUUGAAACAUAUUAUGUCAUCAUUGACAGACUUUGUUUGUGCCCAUCGAAGCCUACACACAUGCGUGUGACUUCUUUGGAGUUUGAUUUGAGGGGGACUGCAAUGAUUGUGAUGUGCGUGAAAGCGCUGCUAAGCUGUGCUCCACUUAUCCGACAGAUCUGGAUAGUUCCUUCUCAGACAAACUUAUUCAGUUCAAGCACUUGACUUCACCUGUACAUCUUCUGCAAGCUCUUGAGAGACAUGGACUUAAGACAACAUUUCCAAAUGUUUAUGUUGCAAUAAGCAUGUUUUUAACCUUGCCUUUGUCUAACUGUGAGAGGUCGUUUUCUGUUUUGAAACGAGUUAAAAAUGAGCUGAGGACCACAAUGUCACAGACACGGCUCUCUGCACGUCGAACAUGAACUUGUUAGUGCCCUUGAUAUUGUACACCAGUUUGCAGAAAAGUCCAGAAAAUGCCACUGUAAGAUGUGUUUGCCAAAUGAAACCAAGCAUUUCAAAUUUAAACAUGCACUUUCCCAUUAUUUAGGAUUAAAAUUGUGUAUGUUGACACAUUAUGUCGCAUUUCUGUAAAUUGUUUAUUGUUGAGAAAAAACAGGCAGAUUUCAAAAUGUUUAUAUUGCACUAUAACUUGAUUGUCCUUGUCCGUGGACUUCCUCUGUGAUGGAUCCAUCAGUUCAAUACAUUUGUGUUGGGAAUAGGUGGUGUUAAAUAAAUAUGGAUG
ensembl:lncRNA